rnacentral:rRNA from 1 species
UACGUAGGGUGCGAGCGUUGUCCGGAAUUAUUGGGCGUAAAGAGCUCGUAGGCGGCUUGGCAAGUCGGGUGUGAAAACUCCAGGCUCAACCUGGAGACGCCACCCGAUACUGCCAUGGCUAGAGUCCGGUAGGGGACCACGGAAUUCCUGGUGUAGCGGUGAAAUGCGCAGAUAUCAGGAGGAACACCGGUGGCGAAGGCGGCAUCCUGGACCGGCAUUGACGCUGAGGAGCGAAAGCCAGGGGAGCAAACGGG